GAGUUUGAUCCUGGCUCAGAUUGAACGCUGGCGGCAUACCUUACACAUGCAAGUCGAACGGCAGCACGGGAGCUUGCUCCUGGUGGCGAGUGGCGAACGGGUGAGUAAUGCAUCGGAACGUAUCCUGGAGUGGGAGAUAACGUAGCGAAAGUUACGCUAAUACCGCAUAUUCUGUGAGCAGGAAAGCGGGGGACCUUCGGGCCUCGCGCUCUUGGAGCGGCCGAUGUCGGAUUAGCUAGUUGGUGAGGUAAAGGCUCACCAAGGCGACGAUCCGUAGCAGGUCUGAGAGGAUGAUCUGCCACACUGGAACUGAGACACGGUCCAGACUCCUACGGGAGGCAGCAGUGGGGAAUUUUGGACAAUGGGGGCAACCCUGAUCCAGCCAUGCCGCGUGAGUGAAGAAGGCCU
rnacentral:rRNA from 1 species